rnacentral:misc_RNA from 1 species
GAAUCACAUCUAGGGCAUUUCAGGUGUUCCUGCUCUGGAAAUUGAGGCUUAAUUUGUGAAUAAAUUGAUGGGUCUUGCAUAAUUUUCAGCUUAAAAAUAGUAGAAUUGAAAUCAAAUUUGUUGUUCUGAGAAGUGGCGAAAGGAAAACUUAAAAGAGGACCAAAAGGAAUAGAUAUUAAUCAAACCAAAACAACUUUAUAAGCCACAAAGAUAGAUGGC